AAUGGAUUAGCUCUGUCAACACCAAUGCUGUAUAUGUAUGCUCCCAUACGCCGAGCCUUGUCAACCUAAGGAAAAGACCUAGAGCAAUCAUAGGAAAUAACCCAGCACUUCAAACAGGUGGAGUAGAUGCCUUCACGCUAAAUCACAUUCAAGUCAGGAGCAUCUCACAGGCAGAAACGCACUUACUACAGAGGUCUGUAUUAUGAUGCACAGCAGUCAAGUACUAAGCUAUGAUGAACGUUCAAAUUCUUCAAACAAAGAGAUGGCUGUCGUCAGGGACUCACAAGCAGAAAAUGACCAACCAGAUCAUCUGCAGGGAUUGAGGAACCUCCCUGCACAAGGGACACAUAGUGGCUGAUCAGUGUGGCUGGUCACACUGGUCACCUUAGAUGGAGACUGAGUGGACAGAAAAUGGAGGAAGAGAAUGCUUUU